rnacentral:rRNA from 1 species
UACAGAGGUCCCAAGCGUUUGUUCGGAUUCACUGGGCGUAAAGGGUGCGUAGGCGGUCGGGUAAGUCUGAUGUGAAAUCUCACAGCUUAACUGUGAAACUGCAUUGGAUACUAUUCGGCUAGAGAGUUGGAGGGGGGACUGGAAUUCUCGGUGUAGCAGUGAAAUGCGUAGAUAUCGAGAGGAACACCAGUGGCGAAGGCGAGUCCCUGGACAACUUCUGACGCUGAGGCACGAAAGCUAGGGGAGCAAACAGG